rnacentral:rRNA from 1 species
CAGUAGCCACGGUAAUACGAGGGGGGCAAGCGUUGUUCGGAAUUAUUGGGCGUAAAGGGCGCGUAGGCGGUUUGACAAGUCUGAUGUGAAAUCUCUGGGCUCAACCCAGAGUCUGCAUCGGAAACUGUCGAGCUUGGGUAUGGGAGAGGUGAGUGGAAUUUCCGGUGUAGCGGUGAAAUGCGUAGAUAUCGGAAGGAACACCUGUGGCGAAAGCGGCUCACUGGACCAUUACUGACGCUGAGGCGCGAAAGCUAGGGGAGCAAACAGGAUUAGAUACCCCCGUAGUCCCUGUCUCUUAUAC